rnacentral:rRNA from 1 species
AUUCCAGCUCCAAUAGCGUAUAUUAAAGUUGUUGCAGUUAAAACGCUCGUAGUCGGAUUUCGGGGCGGGCCGACCGGUCUGCCGAUGGGUAUGCACUGGCCGGCGCGUCCUUCCACCCGGAGACCGCGCCUACUCUUAACUGAGCGGGCGCGGGAGACGGGUCUUUUACUUUGAAAAAAUCAGAGUGUUUCAAGCAGGCAGUCGCUCUUGCAUGGAUUAGCAUGGGAUAAUGAAAUAGGACUCUGGUGCUAUUUUGUUGGUUUCGAACACCGGAGUAAUGAUUAACAGGGACAGUCAGGGGCACUCGUAUUCCGCCGAGAGAGGUGAAAUUCUCAGACCAGCGGAAGACGAACCACUGCGAAAGCAUUUGCCAGGGAUGUUUUCAUUG